GAUGAACGCUGGCGCCGUGCUUAACACAUGCAAGUCGAACGGAAAGGCCCAAGCUUGCUUGGGUACUCGAGUGGCGAACGGGUGAGUAACACGUGGGUGAUCUGCCCUGCACUUCGGGAUAAGCCUGGGAAACUGGGUCUAAUACCGGAUAGGACCACUUCUUGGAUGUUGUGGUGGAAAGUUUUCUCGGUGUGGGAUGAGCUCGCGGCCUAUCAGCUUGUUGGUGGGGUAAUGGCCUACCAAGGCGUCGACGGGUAGCCGGCCUGAGAGGGUGUACGGCCACAUUGGGACUGAGAUACGGCCCAGACUCCUACGGGAGGCAGCAGUGGGGAAUAUUGCACAAUGGGCGCAAGCCUGAUGCAGCGACGCCGCGUGGGGGAUGACGGCCUUCGGGUUGUAAACUCCUUUCGCUAGGGACGAAGCGUUUUUGUGACGGUACCUGGAGAAGAAGCACCGGCUAACUACGUG
rnacentral:rRNA from 1 species